rnacentral:misc_RNA from 1 species
GAUGAAGAACGCAGCGAAAUGCGAUACUUGGUUUGAAUUGCAGAAUCCCGUGAACCAUCGAGUCUUUGAACGCAAGUUGCGCCUCAAGCCAUUAGGUUGAGGGCACGUCUGCCUGGGCGUCACAUAUCGUUGCCUGAUGCCAGUUUCCUCGUGAUGGGUGACUGUGCAGGGCGAAUGAUGGCUUCCCGUGAGCAUUGUUGCCUCAUGGUUGGUUGAAAAUUGAGUCCUUGGUAGGGAGCGCCGUGAUAGAUGGUGGUUGAGUGACGAACGAGACCCAAUCAUGUGAGACCCCUACCGAAUUUGGCCUUCAUGACCCACAUGCGUCUUUGGAACGCUCAUGACGAGACCUCAGGUCAGGCGGGGCUACCCGCUGAAUUUAAGCAUAUCAAUAAGCGGAGGA